ACCUGGGUAGCUCAAUUGUAGAGCUCCUGACUAGAAUUGCAGGAGUCCUGGGUAGAAUUCCCAGUUCAGAUA
rnacentral:tRNA from 1 species